rnacentral:rRNA from 1 species
GGUAGCACAGAGGAGCUUGCUCCUCGGGUGACGAGUGGCGGACGGGUGAGUAAUGUCUGGGAAACUGCCCGAUGGAGGGGGAUAACUACUGGAAACGGUAGCUAAUACCGCAUAACGUCGCAAGACCAAAGUGGGGGACCUUCGGGCCUCACACCAUCGGAUGUGCCCAGAUGGGAUUAGCUUGUAGGCGGGGUAACGGCCCACCUAGGCGACGAUCCCUAGCUGGUCUGAGAGGAUGACCAGCCACACUGGAACUGAGACACGGUCCAGACUCCUACGGGAGGCAGCAGUGGGGAAUAUUGCACAAUGGGCGCAAGCCUGAUGCAGCCAUGCCGCGUGUAUGAAGAAGGCCUUCGGGUUGUAAAGUACUUUCAGCGGGGAGGAAGGUGUUGAGGUUAAUAACCUCAGCAAUUGACGUUACCCGCAGAAGAAGCACCGGCUAACUCCGUGCCAGCAGCCGCGGUAAUACGGAGGGUGCAAGCGUUAAUCGGAAUUACUGGGCGUANAGCGCACGCAGGCGGUCUGUUAAGUCAGAUGUGAAAUCCCCGGGCUUAACCUGGGAACUGCAUUUGAAACUGGCAGGCUUGAGUCUCGUAGAGGGGGGUAGAAUUCCAGGUGUAGCGGUGAAAUGCGUAGAGAUCUGGAGGA